GACGAACGCUGGCUGCGUGCUUAACACAUGCAAGUCGAGCGGUAAGGCCUUUCGGGGUACACGAGCGGCGAACGGGUGAGUAACACGUGGGUGAUCUGCCCUGCACUUCUGGAUAAGCCUGGGAAACUGGGUCUAAUACCGGAUAUGACCUCCUAUCGCAUGGUGGGUGGUGGAAAGAUUUAUCGGUGCAGGAUGGGCCCGCGGCCUAUCAGCUUGUUUGUGGGGUAAUGGCCUACCAAGGCGACGACGGGUAGCCGACCUGAGAGGGUGACCGGCCACACUGGGACUGAGACACGGCCCAGACUCCUACGGGAGGCAGCAGUGGGGAAUAUUGAACAAUGGGCGAAAGCCUGAUGCAGCGACGCCGCGUGAGGGAUGAAGGCCUUCGGGUUGUAAACCUCUUUCAGCAGGGACGAAGCGCAAGUGACGGUACCUGCAGAAGAAGCACCGGCUAACUACGUG
rnacentral:rRNA from 1 species